CGCGGUAAUACAUAGGUUGCAAGCGUUAUCCGGAUUUACUGGGCGUAAAGCAAGCGCAGGUGGACUAACAAGUCUGGUGUUAAAUGCGAUAGCUUAACUAUCGUAUGCAUGGGAAACUGUUGGUCUAGAGUGCAGUAAGGUGUUUUGGAACUCCAUGUGGAGCGGUGGAAUGCGUAGAUAUAUGGAAGAACACCAGUGGUGAAAGCGAAAACAUUGGCUGUAACUGACACUUAGGCUUGAAAGCGUGGGGAGCAAAUAGGAUUAGAUACCCUAGUAGUCCACGCCGUAAACGAUGGAUAUUAAAUAUUGGUUCUUGUUGGAUCAGUAUUGUAGCUAACGCGAUAAAUAUCCCGCCUGGGUAGUACACUCGCAAGAGUGAAACUCAAACGGAAUUGACGGGGACCCGCACAAGUGGUGGAUUAUGUUGUUUAAUUCGACGGUACACGUGGAACCUUACCUAGUCUUGACAUCCCUGGCAAAGCUAUAGAAAUAUAGUGGAGGUUAACCGGGUGACAGGUGGUGCAUGGCUGUCGUCAGCUCGUGUCGUGAGAUGUUGGGUUAAGUCCCGCAACGAGCGCAACCCUUUUUGAUAGUUAAUUUAUCUAUCGAUACUGCCGAUGUAAAUCGGAGGAAGGUGGGGAUGACGUCAAGUCAUCAUGCCCUUUAUGACUAGGGCUACAAACGUAAUACAAUGGGUGGUACAAACAGUAGCGAACCCGCAAGGGAGAGCAAAUCUGAAAAAGCCAUUCGUAGUACGGAUUGGGGGGCUGAAAUUCGCCCCCAUGAAGCUGGAAUCACUAGUAAUCGCAAAUCAGACAUGUUGCGGUGAAUACGUUCUCGGGUCUUGUACACACCGCCCGU
rnacentral:rRNA from 1 species